AAAUGUCGUAAUGUCACGUAUCCCGUUAUAAUUAAAUUGAUUUUCUAGGGAAAUGCAACAUACAUGUAUAAUUUACGAGAAAAAAUGUAUUUUGUUUCUGUUAUGUGUUAAAUUUUAGUAUUGUGUAAAAGUAAAAUUAAUUCGAAUGUACCUAUUCGCAUUGUAUUUUAGGUAUAUAAUUUUAAACGAUUUAAAAAAAAAAAAGGAUCUAUCGACGAACGUUUCAUUUUCGACAGACAAAUUAACGUCACGCUAAUCUAACCCAACCGGGGUAACCUACAAAACAAUAUUGUACUCUGUAUACUUGCCGGUAAUUAAAUAUGAACGAAAAUUGCACGUUAUCGGCAACAAUAAUAAUAAUAAUUAGGGCUUG